rnacentral:rRNA from 1 species
UACAGAGGUCUCAAGCGUUGUUCGGAUUCAUUGGGCGUAAAGGGUGCGUAGGUGGCGCUGUAAGUCGGGUGUGAAAUUUCGGAGCUUAACUCCGAAACUGCAUUCGAUACUGCGGUGCUUGAGGACUGGAGAGGAGACUGGAAUUCAUGGUGUAGCAGUGAAUGCGUAGAGAUCAUGAGGAAGACCAGUGGCGAAGGCGGUCUCUGGACAGUUCCUGACACUGAGGCACGAAGGCCAGGGAGCGAACGG